rnacentral:tRNA from 15 species
GCCGAGGUAGCUCAGUUGGUAGAGCGCUUGCCUGAAGAGCAAUAGGUCGGCGGUUCGAGCCCGCCCCUCGGCACCA